rnacentral:rRNA from 1 species
AUUGAACGCUGGCGGCAGGCUUAACACAUGCAAGUCGAGCGGGGAAGGGUAGCUUGCUACCUAACCUAGCGGCGGACGGGUGAGUAAUGCUUAGGAAUCUGCCUAUUAGUGGGGGACAACAUUCCGAAAGGAAUGCUAAUACCGCAUACGCCCUACGGGGGAAAGCAGGGGAUCUUCGGACCUUGCGCUAAUAGAUGAGCCUAAGUCAGAUUAGCUAGUUGGUGGGGUAAAGGCCUACCAAGGCGACGAUCUGUAGCGGAUCUGAGAGGAUGAUCCGCCACACUGGGACUGAGACGCGGCCCAGACUCCUACGGGAGGCAGCAGUGGGGAAUAUUGGACAAUGGGCGAAAGCCUGAUCCAGCCAUGCCGCGUGUGUGAAGAAGGCCUUUUGGUUGUAAAGCACUUUAAGCGAGGAGGAGGCUACCGAGAUUAAUACUCUUGGAUAGUGGACGUUACUCGCAGAAUAAGCACCGGCUAACUCUGUGCCAGCAGCCGCAGUAA